GACGUAGGGCGCGAGCGUUGUCCGGAUUUAUUGGGCGUAAAGGGCGCGUAGGCGGCCUGUUAAGUCGAACGUGAAAUCCCCGGGCUCAACCCGGGAACUGCGUCCGAUACUGGUCGGCUUGAAUUCGGGAGAGGGAUGCGGAAUUCCGAGGUGUAGCGGUGAAAUGCGUAGAUAUCUGGAGGAACACCGGUGGCGAAGGCGGCGAUCCUGGACCGACAUUGACGCUGAGGCGCG
rnacentral:rRNA from 1 species